AGUGAACGCUGGCGGUAGGCCUAACACAUGCAAGUCGAACGGCAGCACAGUAAGAGCUUGCUCUUACGGGUGGCGAGUGGCGGACGGGUGAGGAAUACAUCGGAAUCUACUUUUUCGUGGGGGAUAACGUAGGGAAACUUACGCUAAUACCGCAUACGACCUACGGGUGAAAGCAGGGGAACUUCGGACCUUGCGCGAUUGAAUGAGCCGAUGUCGGAUUAGCUAGUUGGCGGGGUAAAGGCCCACCAAGGCGACGAUCCGUAGCUGGUCUGAGAGGAUGAUCAGCCACACUGGAACUGAGACACGGUACAGACUCCUACGGGAGGCAGCAGUGGGGAAUAUUGGACAAUGGGCGCAAGCCUGAUCCAGCCAUACCGCGUGGGUGAAGAAGGCCUUCGGGUUGUAAAGCCCUUUUGUUGGGAAAGAAAAGCAGCAGGUUAAUACCCCGCUGUUCUGACGGUACCCAAAGAAUAAGCACCGGCUAACUUCGUG
rnacentral:rRNA from 1 species